ACUUUGGACUGUCAACACUUCGUGCAAUAUAAUCUAAUAUACGAUUUUUCGAAUGUCUAUUACACAUUUCAUACAGAACUUUUUAAAAAAUGGCAGGUUCGGUCUGCUGAAUAUAAAAUUAUUUAUGCAAAAAGAAAAAAUAUAUACAAGAUCGAUUCAGAACAGAAACUGGUCUCCUUGUAGAUGUAGUUUUACAAGGCAAAGGAAUAACUAAUGACGGUAAUACUUCUCGUAGAUUUUUAAAAAACGCGGAAAUAUGUGCUGAUAUAACAAAUUUAGAUUUACAUCUCAUACAAUGAUUUAGGAUGAUUUUUAAGACAAUGGCCAGUUGUCGGAUAAGGCGCAAGAGGCCCGAAAUAAAGAUUUCAGAAAUAUUAGAAAAAAUAAUACACGCAAAACAGUCUCACAAAAUGAGGAUUUAGCCCAUAUGAUACUUGUCUUCGGAUCCUUACAUUUCUAGCUCAAAAAAAAAUUCGAAAAUCAAUGUGAAACCGCUAGGUGAAGAUAUGAGAACUCUACUAAUAAUCGACGUUAACUAAAAUAAUUAAUCCCACAAUAACAGUGACGAAGACAGUGAU